AUUGAACGCUGGCGGCAUGCCUUACACAUGCAAGUCGAACGGCAGCACGGGAGCAAUCCUGGUGGCGAGUGGCGAACGGGUGAGUAAUAUAUCGGAACGUGCCCAGUCGUGGGGAUAACGUAGCGAAAGCUACGCUAAUACCGCAUACGAUCUAUGGAUGAAAGCGGGGGAUCGCAAGACCUCGCGCGAUUGGAGCGGCCGAUAUCAGAUUAGGUAGUUGGUGAGGUAAAGGCUCACCAAGCCGACGAUCUGUAGCUGGUCUGAGAGGAUGAUCAGCCACACUGGGACUGAGACACGGCCCAGACUCCUACGGGAGGCAGCAGUGGGGGAAUAGUUGGACAAUGGGCGAAAGCCUGAUCCAGCAAUGCCGCGUGAGUGAUGAAGGCCUUAGGUUGUAAACUGCUUUUGUACGGUAACGAAACGGUGAGCUCUAAUACAGUUUGCUAAUGACGUACCGUAAGAAUAAGCACGG
rnacentral:rRNA from 1 species